ACGCUCGACACCUACGGGAGGAGCAGUGGGGAAUAUUGCACAAUGGGGGAAACCCUGAUGCAGCGACGCCGCGUGAGCGAAGAAGUAUUUCGGUAUGUAAAGCUCUAUCAGCAGGGAAGAAACUGACGGUACCUGACUAAGAAGCACCGGCUAAAUACGUGCCAGUAGCCGCGGUAAUCUGAGCGGGCUGGCAAGGC
rnacentral:rRNA from 1 species